UUGUCUUUUAAUUAAGGACUGGAAUGAAAGGUUUGACUAUGUAUUUCUGUCUUAUAAUAAUAUUUUGAAAUUUAUAUUUUAGUAAAAAAGCUAAAAUUAUCUAUAGGGACGAGAAGACCCUAUCAAGUUUUACAAUCCAAAAUUUAUUUUCAAAUUAAGUUUAAAAUUGUUUUGCUGGGGCAGCAGAUAAAAAUUUUUUAUUUUAAAAUUAUGAUAAAUAAAUCUUGAAAAAUCAAAAAAUUUUUAAUUAAAAAUAAAUUACUGUAGGGAUAACAGCAUAAUUUUUUUAGAGAGUUCUUAUCAUCAAAAAAGUUUGUGACCUCGAUGUUGGAUUAAAAUUCCUAAUUCGUGCAAUAAUGAAAUAA
rnacentral:rRNA from 1 species